GACGAACGCUGGCGGCGUGCCUAAUACAUGCAAGUCGAACGCUGAAGGAGGAGCUUGCUCUUCUGGAUGAGUUGCGAACGGGUGAGUAACGCGUAGGUAACCUGCCUGGUAGCGGGGGAUAACUAUUGGAAACGAUAGCUAAUACCGCAUAAGAGUAGAUGUUGCAUGACAUUUACUUAAAAGGUGCAAUUGCAUCACUACCAGAUGGACCUGCGUUGUAUUAGCUAGUUGGUGGGGUAACGGCUUACCAAGGCGACGAUACAUAGCCGACCUGAGAGGGUGGUCGGCCACACUGGGACCUAGGCACGGCCCAGGCUCCUUCGGGGAGCAGCAGGAGGGAAUCUUCGGCAAUUGACGGAAGUCUGACCGAGCAACGCCGCGUGGGGGAAGGAGGUUCUCGGAUCGGUAAGCUCUGUUGUAAGGGAAGGACGAGUGUGAGAGUUGAAAGUUCACGCUGUGACGGUAUCUAAACAGAAAGGGACGGCUAACUACGUG
rnacentral:rRNA from 1 species